rnacentral:rRNA from 1 species
GACGAACGCUGGCGGCGUGCUUAACACAUGCAAGUCGAACGGAAAGGCCUCUUUCGGGGGGUACUCGAGUGGCGAACGGGUGAGUGACACGUGAGUAAACUGCCCUUGACUUUGGGAUAAAUUCAGGAAACAGGGGCGAAUACCGGAUAGGAGAUCCUGCUGCAUGGUGGGGGUUGGAGAGAUUCGGCGGGUGGGGGUGGGCUCGCGGCGUAUCAGCUUGUUGGUGGGGUGGUGGCUUACCAAGGGUUUGACGGGUAGGCGGCCUGUGAGGGUGACCGGCCACAUUGGGACUGAGGGACGGCCCAGACUCCUACGGGAGGCAGCAGUGGGGAAUAUUGCACAAUGGGUGGAAGCCUGAUGCAGCAACGCCGUGUGCGGGAUGACGGCCUUCGGGUUGUAAACCGCUUUCGCUCAUGACGAAGCUUUGUGUGACGGUAGUGGGUAAAGAAGCACCGGCUAACUACGUG